CUACGGAGGGUGCAAGCGUUAUUCGGAAUCACUGGGCGUAAAGGACGCGUAGGCGGGUUGGCAAGUCAGAUGUGAAAUCCUACAGCUUAACUGUAGAACUGCAUUUGAAACUGCUAACCUAGAGUAUGGGAGGGGGAGAUGGAAUUAGGGGUGUAGGGGUAAAAUCCGUAGAUAUCACUAGGAAUACCGAAAGCGAAGGCGAUCUCCUGGAACAUAACUGACGCUAAGGCGUGAAAGCGUGGGGAGCAAACAGGAUUAGAAACCCCAGUAGUCC
rnacentral:rRNA from 1 species